rnacentral:rRNA from 1 species
GAUCAUGGCUCAGAUUGAACGCUGGCGGCAGGCCUAACACAUGCAAGUCGAACGGUAACAGGGAUCAGCUUGCUGAUUCGCUGACGAGUGGCGGACGGGUGAGUAAUGUCUGGGAAACUGCCUGAUGGAGGGGGAUAACUACUGGAAACGGUAGCUAAUACCGCAUAACGUCGCAAGACCAAAGAGGGGGGACCUUCGGGCCGUCUUGCCACUCGGAGUGUGCCCACGAUGGGAGUUAGCUAG